GGGAGGAGCCUUGGGGGCACGUGCGUGGCCGGCGGCAUCACCAUCACAGUGGUGGCCCCCCCCGGAGGACGAGGAUGCCCCCGAUGAUGACGUCAUCACCGGUGAUGUCAUCGGGGGCGACAUCAUGGCGGAGGGUGAUGUCACCUCCCCCACCCCUGAGGAGCCCCUCGUGGGUGACGUCAUCGCCCAGAGUGACGUCACUGGUGACGUCAUCACUGGGGACGUCACCGGUCGUGAUGCUGUUCCUGGCCUUCCUCGGGAGGAGCUCACCGGCAGUGACAUCACACACGGCGAUGACGUCACUGGUGACGUCAUAGCCACAGGCGACCCUACUGCCCUCUAUGGGGAUACCUGCGCCGAUGACGUCAUCGCUGACGUCACUGCAGAGGAAGACGUGGCUGGUUUUGUACCUCGGGAUACCCCUGCUGAUGACGUCAUCGCCACUGAUGAUGUCAUCGCUGACGUCACUGCGGAGGAAGACGUGGCUGGUUUUGUACCUGGGGUUACCCCUGCUGAUGACGUCAUCGCCGCUGAUGAUGUCAUCGCUGACGUCACUGCAGAGGAAGACGUGGCUGGUGUUGUACCUAGGGAUAGCCCUGCUGAUGACGUCAUUUCCGCUGAUGACGUCAUCACCGCUGAUGAUGUCACUUCGUCCUUGCCAGGAGACGCUGACCUCACUGGUGACAUCAUCUGUGCCAAUGAGCACGUUCCUGCUUGGGAUGACAUCAUCGAUGAUGUCAUCCCUGAGGAUGACGUCACUCCCCCCAUCCCCAGUGGCAGUGCUGGUCAUGACGUCACCCCCACCUCCCUCCCCAGCUGUGACGUCAGCCCCGAGGAUGACGUCACGGGUGACGUCACAGCAGGAGACCCCAUCCCCGAAGACUCCCCCUACCAGGAGGAUGACGUCACCAAUGACAUCAUCACCGAGGCCCCCAGAAGGGAUGCCCCAGGUAAGGAAGGGGGUGCAGGGAGCCAAUGGGGUGGGCUCAGGGGAGGGGGCGUGGCCUGGCGCUGGCCACGCCCCCUCC
rnacentral:lncRNA from 14 species